AUAUCUGCUAUAGAGGUCAAUAUUUCACAUAGUCCUCCCACUAUAUAUCUGCUAUAGAGGUCAAUAUUUCACAUAGUCCUCCCACUAUAUAUCUGCUAUAGAGGUCAAUAUUUCACAUAGUCCUCCCACUAUAUAUCUGCCAUAGAGGUCAAUAUUUCACACUCCAAAAUGAAAAUAGAAUCAGCUUGAAUUCAGUUUGAUGUCCCAGUAUGAAUCAUUCUGUGAUGUUUAGACUGUUCCAAUAGUAGCACUGCUUACAUCCCUUUCCCUAGAUGUACAUUAGUAAUGAAUGUGAUGAACAGUCAUUCCAAUAUGAUGUAUGGUAUUUCAUUAAAUUAUGGAAUGAGACAGAAAUGUAAUGAACAAUAAUAACUAAUGCAUUCUGUUUUACAUGAUCAUUAUUCAUGACUCUCCAUCUUGGAUAAUGGGUGAACAGUUUGGGGUGAGUAAUUACUUAUUUGUCUGUUUUGUUUAUUGACAACCAAUAACACAAGACAAAGAACAGACCAGAGUGUUAAUCUGAUAUUAUAAAAACUACAGGCCUUGUGAACAGCAGUGUGUCUUCUUCAAGGCUACAAAUUAAAUCAGUUUCUUUACAUUUAUCAAUACUCUCCCCAAAUGUUCUCAAGGUAGGUUGGAUUAAGAUGUAUAGAUGUUCUUCAAAUGAUCCAGAAUUUUCAUAUCAUCGAUCUCCCACAAUAUAUCUGCUAUAGAGGUCAACAUUUCACAUAGUCCUCCCACAAAAUAUCUGUUGUAGAGCUCAACAUUUUAGAGGGGUUGAGUUAAAUGCGGAAGACACAUCUCAGUUGAAUACAUUCAGUUGGACAACUGACUAGGUAUCCCCCUUUCCUUUCCCUUUCACAAUAUAUCUGCCAUAGAGGUCAAUAUUUCACAUAGUCCUCCCACUAUAUAUCUGCCAUAGAGGUCAAUAUUUCACAUAGUCCUCCCACUAUAUAUCUGCCAUAGAGGUCAAUAUUUCACAUAGUCCUCCCACUAUAUAUCUGCCAUAGAGGUCAACAUUUCACACUCCAAAAUGAAAAUAGAAUCAGCUUGAAUUCAGCUUGAUGUCUUAUUAUGAAGCAUUCAGUCAUUCUCAGACUGCUCACAUAGUAGUGCUGCUUACAUCCCUUUCCCUAGAUGUACAUUAGUAAUGAAUGUGAUGAACAGUCAUUCCAAUAUGAUGUAUGGUAUUUCAUUAAAUUAUGUCAUGAGACAGAAAUUCAAUGAACAAUAAUAACUAAUGCAUUCUGUUUUACAUGAUCAUUAUUCAUGACUCUCCAUCUUGGAUAAUGGAUGAUCAGGACAACGUGAGUAAUUACUUAUUUGUCUGUUUUGUUUAUUGACAACCAAUAACACAAGACAAAGAACAGACCAGAGUGUUAAUCUGAUACUAUAAAAACUACAGGCCUUGUGAACAGCAGUGUGUCUUCUUCAAGACUACAAAUUAAAUCAGUUUCUUUACAUUUAUCAAUACUCUCCCCAAAUGUUCUCAAGGUAGGUUGGAUUAAGAUGUAUAGAUGUUCUUCAAAUUAUCCAGAAUUUUCAUAUCAUCGAUCUCCCACAAUAUAUCUGCUAUGGAGGUCAACAUUUCACAUAGUCCUCCCACUAUAUAUCUGUUGUAGAGCUCAACAUUUUAG